AAGCGUUAAUCGGAAUUACUGGGCGUAAAGCGAGCGUAGGUGGCUCGAUAAGUCAGAUGUGAAAUCCCCGGGCUUAACCUGGGAACUGCAUCUGAAACUGUCAGGCUAGAGUAGGUGAGAGGAAGGUAGAAUUCCAGGUGUAGCGGUGAAAUGCGUAGAGAUCUGGAGGAAUACCGAUGGCGAAGGCAGCCUUCUGGCAUCAUACUGACACUGAGGCUCGAAAGCGUGGGUAGCAAACAGGAUUAGAUACCCUGGUAGUCCACGCCGUAAACGAUGUCUACUAGUCGUUGGGUCCCUUGAGGACUUAGUGACGCAGCUAACGCAAUAAGUAGACCGCCUGGGGAGUACGGCCGCAAGGUUAAAACUCAAA
rnacentral:rRNA from 1 species